UACGUAGGGGGCAAGCGUUGUCCGGAAUCAUUGGGCGUAAAGAGCGUGUAGGCGGCCCGGUAAGUCCGCCGUGAAAGUCCAGGGCUCAACCCUGGAAUGCCGGUGGAUACUGUCGGGCUAGAGUCCGGAAGGGGCGAGUGGAAUUCCUGGUGUAGCGGUGAAAUGCGCAGAUAUCAGGAGGAACACCGAUGGCGAAGGCAGCUCGCUGGGACGGUACUGACGCUGAGGCACGAAAGUGUGGGGAUCAAACAGG
rnacentral:rRNA from 1 species